AUAAAGUCAGCUAAAACUUAAGCUAGUGGGUUCAUACCCCAACAAUGAAAAUUUUUCCUUUAUUA
rnacentral:tRNA from 1 species